AGGAAAUUGCCCUGAUGUGGGGGAUAACCAUUGGAAACGAUGGCUAAUACCGCAUGAUGCCUACGGGCCAAAGAGGGGGACCUUCGGGCCUCUCGCGUCAGGAUAUGCCUAGGUGGGAUUAGCUAGUUGGUGAGGUAAGGGCUCACCAAGGCGACGAUCCCUAGCUGGUCUGAGAGGAUGAUCAGCCACACUGGAACUGAGACACGGUCCAGACUCCUACGGGAGGCAGCAGUGGGGAAUAUUGCACAAUGGGCGCAAGCCUGAUGCAGCCAUGCCGCGUGUGUGAAGAAGGCCUUCGGGUUGUAAAGCACUUUCAGUCGUGAGGAAGGU
rnacentral:rRNA from 1 species